rnacentral:rRNA from 1 species
AAAUUGAAGAGUUUGAUCAUGGCUCAGAUUGAACGCUGGCGGCAGGCCUAACACAUGCAAGUCGAGCGGAAACGACACUAACAAUCCUUUGGGUGCGUUAAUGGGCGUCGAGCGGCGGACGGGUGAGUAAUGCCUAGGAAAUUGCCUUGAUGUGGGGGAUAAC